CACGUAGGGGGCGAGCGUUGUCCGGAUUUAUUGGGCGUAAAGAGCUCGUAGGCGGUUUGGCAAGUCGGGGGUGAAAUUUCGAGGCUCAACCUCGAAACGCCACUCGAUACUGCCAUGACUGGAGUCCGGUAGAGGAGUGCGGAAUUCCUGGUGUAGCGGUGAAAUGCGCAGAUAUCAGGAGGAACACCAACGGCGAAGGCAGCACUCUGGGCCGGUACUGACGCUGAGGAGCGAAAGCGUGGGGAGCAAACCGG
rnacentral:rRNA from 1 species